rnacentral:lncRNA from 1 species
GUCAACGUUAUAAACCAGUAAACUCUAGAAAACGAACAUCGUCUUCAAGUGGUCAGAUGCUGUUUUAGUUUCGAUUUGAGGGUGUUUAUCUACUUUCUAUGGCCUUACACAGCUGGAACUGGAGCAGAUAUCUUGAGCUGUCAACAUUUCUCUGAUCUUUCCAAUUGUCAUUGGAAACUUCAGGUGAGAUUUUCUGUCUGAUUAUGGUAUUAAUCUGACACUGUAAAUUUCAACCAUUGUUUUACAUUUUGAGUAGAGUUCUGUUAAGCUACUGA